rnacentral:rRNA from 1 species
UACGGGGGGUGCGAGCGUUGUCCGGAAUCAUUGGGCGUAAAGGGCGCGUAGGUGGCCCGGUCAGUUCGUGGUGAAAGCGCGGGGCUCAACCCUGCGUCGGCCAUGAAUACUGCCGCGGCUGGAGCACUGUAGAGGCAGGCGGAAUUCCGGGUGUAGCGGUGGAAUGCGUAGAGAUCCGGAAGAACACCGGUGGCGAAGGCGGGCAUCCUGGACCGGUAUUGGACG